ACAUUCAUAACAUACAUCAUACCUGUGCGUUCGAUGUGCCUAGCGGAAACAAUUGUAUCACGACGUACUAAUGCUUGUCAUAUAGCUAAGCUGAGAUCUCCAGAGCCAGGUCGUAGCUGAAGAGUGAAAAUAUGUUAGAUGCACAGGCCUGUCAGGUUUUACAGCUUAGGCUUUUAUAGCUUAAGAAGAAAGACAGAAUACGCUAGCGACCUUCUUCUUGCUUUUCAGUUUGCAGCUGGCCAGACAUAGCCUGCGUCGAUACCAGCAGCAACGCUAAAUCUGAAGGUGAUCGUCCAUUGAGACAAAUUUUCACAAAAUGGCCAACGAAGUCCGCUCUCACGCAUCACGCUCUAUCCAGUUCGUAUCGCUCAAUGGCUUGCAGCCCCGCGAGUCGCUGAAUUUGCCCAUGUAGUCGCGGUUUACGACGUGUGCUGACUUCAACUCAUACCUCCUCUAAACCUUCAAAUCUUGACCUUUCACGCUUUUUUUGAUUGGAUUAGGAAACAUCUCAUGAACACAGUGCAGCUAGCGCUUUCUACUUGAUAACAUAUUGACUAUUUACUAUCUGCCCAAUCAGGCAACGUCCCAAGGCAAGACAACUUCUGCGACCCACGAUGAGUUCUUGGGAGUGCCCAACUGCCAUUCCGAUUCCGCCAGUUUUAGCCACGAACAGACCCAGCCAGGGAGAAAUCCAUCAAAAUUUCGUAUUUUGCACCUACCGAUAUAAGCCACUUUUAUAAUGAAGGCAUUAAGUGUAAACAUCUGUCGAUGGUUCUAGCUGCCUGUGGCAAUUAUAAUGCAGCGGCAGUCGUGGCAAGGUUUUCAUGACCGUUGUGCCAACAGCACCGACUCGAAGAAUAAAUCGUCUAGGCAGGUUAGCCUAACGAGCGACAUCGACGCGCAAAAUAACCAAUUAGGACAAAAGCUGCUCGCUGGGAACGUCAAUGAAACGAUGCCUACACAAGGCAGCGACGAGAACGCUAACGUUAAUAAUUAGAUAAUAAUAAGAAUAAGGUCCGAUUGGAAGCGAACCGUAUUGGCCCCAAAAGACGGAGUUUUCUCGUUUGACGUUGGAUCUUUGUUCGGCUGUGAAGGGGAACAACUCGUCGCGGGCGCAUCGAUUACGGCCGAUAUAUAUGUGGACUUCAAUACGGCUGCACACUGGAGAUAAAGGCAUUGCUAUUCUAAAACACAACAAUAGCGUGCGACCUAUUCUCUUCAGCAGGUGCGAAGCUGCCAAAGUCCAAGGAAAUGGCAAAGAGCUUCGCACGUGCUUUCCUCCAGAAUUUCAGUAUAGAAGCAGCCAACCGAUCUGGCACAACUUCAAAAAGAUAUCAACGAAGAACAACAAAAUAUAUUU